GGGGUUGUGGCUCAGUGGUAGAGCACUCACCUUGCACAUGAGACCCUGGGUUCGAUCCUCAGCACCA
rnacentral:tRNA from 1 species